rnacentral:rRNA from 1 species
GUGGCGGACGGGUGAGUAACGCGUGGGUAACCUGCCUUGUACUGGGGGACAACAGUUGGAAACGACUGCUAAUACCGCAUAAGCGCACAGCUUCGCAUGAAGCAGUGUGAAAAACUCCGGUGGUACAAGAUGGACCCGCGUCUGAUUAGCUGGUUGGUGAGGUAACGGCCCACCAAGGCGACGAUCAGUAGCCGGCCUGAGAGGGUGAACGGCCACAUUGGGACUGAGACACGGCCCAAACUCCUACGGGAGGCAGCAGUGGGGAAUAUUGCACAAUGGGGGAAACCCUGAUGCAGCAACGCCGCGUGAGUGAAGAAGUAUUUCGGUAUGUAAAGCUCUAUCAGCAGGAAAGAAAAUGACGGUACCUGACUAAGAAGCCCCGGCUAACUACGUGCCAGCAGCCGCGGUAAUACGUAGGGGGCAAGCGUUAUCCGGAUUUACUGGGUGUAAAGGGAGCGUAGACGGUUUUGCAAGUCUGAAGUGAAAGCCCGGGGCUUAACCCCGGGACUGCUUUGGAAACUGUAGAACUAGAGUGCAGGAGAGGUAAGUGGAAUUCCUAGUGUAGCGGUGAAAUGCGUAGAUAUUAGGAGGAACACCAGUGGCGAAGGCGGCUUACUGGACUGUAACUGACGUU